rnacentral:rRNA from 1 species
CCUACGGGAGGCUGCAGUGAGGAAUAUUGGUCAAUGGACGAGAGUCUGAACCAGCCAAGUAGCGUGAAGGAUGACUGCCCUAUGGGUUGUAAACUUCUUUUAUAAAGGAAUAAAACGAGGCACGUGUGCCUUUUUGCAUGUACUUUAUGAAUAAGGAUCGGCUAACUCCGUGCCAGCAGCCGCGGUAAUACGGAGGAUCCGAGCGUUAUCCGGAUUUAUUGGGUUUAAAGGGAGCGUAGAUGGGUUGUUAAGUCAGUUGUGAAAGUUUGCGGCUCAACCGUAAAAUUGCAAUUGAUACUGGCAGUCGUGAGUACAGUUGAGGUAGGCGGAAUUCGUGGUGUAGCGGUGAAAUGCUUAGAUAUCACGAAGAACCCCGAUUGCGAAGGCAGCUUACUAAACUGUGACUGACAUUGAUGCUCGAAAGUGUGGGUAUCAAACAGGAUUAGAUACCCCAUAGUC